rnacentral:rRNA from 1 species
UACAGAGGUGGCAAGCGUUGUUCGGAAUUACUGGGCGUAAAGGGCGAGUAGGCGGCCUUCUAAGUCAGACGUGAAAUCCCCAGGCUUAACCUGGGAACUGCGUUUGAUACUGGAUGGCUUGAAUCCGGGAGAGGGAUGUGGAAUUCCAGGUGUAGCGGUGAAAUGCGUAGAUAUCUGGAGGAACACCGGUGGCGAAGGCGGCAUCCUGGACCGGUAUUGACGCUGAGGCGCGAAAGCUAGGGGAGCAAACGGG